rnacentral:rRNA from 1 species
GACGAACGCUGGCGGCGUGCUUAACACAUGCAAGUCGAACGGAAAGGCCCUGCUUUUGUGGGGUGCUCGAGUGGCGAACGGGUGAGUAACACGUGAGUAACCUGCCCUUGACUUUGGGAUAACUUCAGGAAACUGGGGCUAAUACCGGAUAGGAGCUCCUGCUGCAUGGUGGGGGUUGGAAAGUUUCGGCGGUUGGGGAUGGACUCGCGGCUUAUCAGCCUGUUGGUGGGGUAGUGGCUUACCAAGGCUUUGACGGGUAGCCGGCCUGAGAGGGUGGCCGGCCACAUUGGGACUGAGAUACGGCCCAGACUCGUACGGGAGGCAGCAGUGGGGAAUAUUGCACAAUGGGCGGAAGCCUGAUGCAGCAACGCCGCGUGCGGGAUGACGGCCUUCGGGUUGUAAACCGCUUUCGCCUGUGACGAAGCGUGAGUGACGGUAAUGGGUAAAGAAGCACCGGCUAACUACGUG